CCUACGGGUGGCAGCAGUGAGGAAUAUUGGUCAAUGGGCGGGAGCCUGAACCAGCCAAGCCGCGUGAGGGAAGAAGGUACAGCGUAUCGUAAACCUCUUUUGUCAGGGAACAAAGGCGGGGACUAGUCCCCGGUUGAGGGUACCUGAAGAAAAAGCAUCGGCUAACUCCGUGCCAGCAGCCGCGGUAAUCCGGGGGAUGCGAGCGUUAUCCGGAUUUAUUGGGUUUAAAGGGUGCGCAGGCGGCCUGUUAAGUCAGCGGUAAAAGCCCGGGGCUCAACCCCGACGAGCCGUUGAGACUGGCGGGCUUGAGUUGGAGAGAAGUACGCGGAAUGCGCGGUGUAGCGGUGAAAUGCUUAGAUAUCGCGCAGAACCCCGAUUGCGAAGGCAGCGUACCGGCUCCACACUGACGCUGAGGCACGAAAGCGUGGGUAUCGAACAGGAUUAGAUACCCCUGUAGUC
rnacentral:rRNA from 1 species